UUCUCCUACGGGGGGCAGCAGUCGGGAAUAUUGCGCAAUGGAGGAAACUCUGACGCAGUGACGCCGCGUAUAGGAAGAAGGUUUUCGGAUUGUAAACUAUUGUCGUUAGGGAAGAUACAAGACAGUACCUAAGGAGGAAGCCCCGGCUAACUACGUGCCAGCAGCCGCGGUAAUACGUAGGUGGCAAGCGUUGUCCGGAUUUACUGGGUGUAAAGGGCGUGUAGCCGGGCCGGCAAGUCAGAUGUGAAAUCCCAAGGCUCAACCUUGGAACUGCAUUUGAAACUGUUGGUCUUGAGUAUCGGAGG
rnacentral:rRNA from 1 species